CUAUUUACAGAGCUAAAGCCUCAAAGCCUUCAGAGACGCUCUAUCUAAGUGUUAUAGAGGAAGGCAACCUGGACUCUGAAAUGGCUUUAUCAGAGUCAAGAGCCUUGAUGCAGCUGGAGCCUGCUCUAUUCAUUCUAUUUACCUGAAUACCUUCAGGACAAAGGAAGUCUACCACUGCAGCAGUGUAUUCCUGGUUCUCUCUAUAUGCUCUGCCAUAAAUGAGGACUGAUCAUGGUCAUCAACUAAGCAUAACACAGCGUUAUAAAAUGGAAUUCGUUCAAUCUCUCCACGGCAUUUCCAGAUUAUAGCAUUAACCUUU